GUAGUUAUUAUAGAGGUAAUACGUGCACAAAUCCCGAAUUCUUGAAAGGGACGUAUUUAUUAGAUAAAAGGCCAGCCGAGCUUGCUCGACCUGCGGUGACUCAUAAUAAAUUCACGAAUCGCAUGGCCUUGUGCCGGCGAUGUUUCAUUCAAAUUUCUGCCCUAUCAACUUUCGAUGGUAGGGUAGAGGCCUACCAUGGUGGUAACGGGUGACGGAGGAUUAGGGUUCGAUUCCGGAGAGGGAGCCUGAGAAACGGCUACCACAUCCAAGGAAGGCAGCAGGCGCGCAAAUUACCCAAUCCCGACACGGGGAGGUAGAGACAAUAAAUAACAAUACCGGGCGUUCAAUGUCUGGUAAUUGGAAUGAGUACAAUCUAAAUCCCUUAACGAGGAUC
rnacentral:rRNA from 1 species